rnacentral:rRNA from 1 species
UACAGAGGGGGCAAGCGUUGUUCGGAAUUACUGGGCGUAAAGGGCGCGUAGGCGGCCUGUUAAGUCGAACGUGAAAUCCCCCGGCUUAACCUGGGAACUGCGUCUGAUACUGGGAGGCUUGAGUAUGGGAGAGGGAUGUAGAAUUCCAGGUGUAGCGGUGAAAUGCGUAGAUAUCUGGAGGAAUACCGGUGGCGAAGGCGGCAUCCUGGACCAUAACUGACGCUGAGGCGCGAAAGCUAGGGGAGCAAACGGG